AUUGAACGCUGGCGGCAUGCCUUACACAUGCAAGUCGAACGGCAGCACGGGGCAACCUGGUGGCGAGUGGCGAACGGGUGAGUAAUGCAUCGGAACGUACCUUUCAGUGGGGGAUAACGUAGCGAAAGUUACGCUAAUACCGCAUAUUCUGUGAGCAGGAAAGCAGGGGAUCGCAAGACCUUGCGCUGAUUGAGCGGCCGAUGUCAGAUUAGCUAGUUGGUGAGGUAAAGGCUCGCCAAGGCGACGAUCUGUAGCGGGUCUGAGAGGAUGAUCCGCCACACUGGAACUGAGACACGGUCGAGACUCCUACGGGAGGCAGCAGUGGGGAAUUUCGGACAAUGGGGGCAACCCUGAUCCAGCCAUGCCGCGUGAGUGAAGAAGGCCUUCGGGUUGUAAAGCUCUUUCGGCCGGGAAGAAAUCGCACGGGCUAAUACCCUGUGUGGAUGACGGUACCGGAAUAAGAAGCACCGGCUAACUACGUGCCAGCAGCCGCGGUAA
rnacentral:rRNA from 1 species